GCACUGGUAGUCUAGUGGUUAGGAUCCAGGAUUGCCAAUUCUGGGACCCGGGUUCAAGUCCCGGCCGGUGCA
rnacentral:tRNA from 1 species